CUUGCUGCCAGUUCACUUUAGUCUAUCAAUGAAAUGGGCUGCCAUUGUUGUGACGUGAUCUCAGAGGACUCGGGUAGCUCUACUUCCGCACGAAACACUGAGCGAAAACUCCGGCCCAACAGAGCGUUCAAAGCACUUUCCUCCGAGCAUAAGGUCCGAACCUCCCGGAAACUCAGACCGUUUCGAAGGCGGCAUAACAGACGAGCUGAGGUGGUGACGUCAUCGAGUCUGCUGCUGUUCCAAUUGACCUGUCGCUAAGUCACGCCCCCAGUCGUUACCAUGACGAACUCGGACAAACAAGCCAGGCUAGUUAACAAAAACAUAUGGAAAAAUGGCAGCUGACAGUAUAUCAAAGCAGGUUUUGGGCGAAAAAUAUUACAUUUCUUCUUCCAGGAGCAAUCGAAAGGGACUCUCUUACGCUAUGGAAGGGUGUAUUCAAAACUUCAGAAAUACCUAGAGAAGGUGACAAGCUUAAAUUAAUUUGGUAUUCUGGCCUGUCACAGUCUGAUCCACAUUCCACGUUUUCUUCUCCUGUUGUGUCUUGGGAAAAGGGAUGAAAUAUACCCCAUUCUGCACCCUCUCGGGAUACCGACUCUCCGUGCUACAUUUACCCCAAGCACAUUGUUUGACCAUGUUAUAUUUUUUUUACACAAGCAACAUAAAUCCACCAUUAAAUUGUUAUAUUAUGCCUCCUCCCUGUUGUUUUCAAUGGAGUUGUCCGAGCUGAUGUCCGAGUAUAGUCUGGGCUGGAAUGUCAUUGUCUCAUCUGCGUUCUAAGGACGGAACUCAGCGACGGCUCAAUUGCAGGUGCCUCCUCCCGUCCUCGGAAGUUUGUAUCACAUUCUAACCCUAACCCUAACUUGCCAAGUUCAAACUUCCAAGUCUGCGAGUCCGAAGUUUGCGUACUACUUGGUAUUGAGAAACGACUAAUGUCUAAUAGGAAGAUAACUGGCACUCUCCGGUAACUUCCGGUUUCUGAACUGGUUUUGGUAACACAUCUCUGUCCAUGUGAGGGCGCUCGCCGGCGGGUGCAGAAAGAACGGCAGUCGACGGGGUUUCACCCUCAAAUUCCACUUUUCUUUUAUAUAUAUGUAUAUGUGUGUAUAUAUAUUUAUAUAUAUGUGUGUGCGUACUUGGUAUUGAGAAACGGCUAUAGUCUGCCGUUGACGUCGCUUAGCAACCGAAUACGCUGGGGUUGAUAAGUUACCGGACUACUUGUGGAGUGAUACGAAAGAUGGCAAAAAUCAAUUUUCCUUGACAUAGGUGCCGGUCAAUAUAUGCUUAGCAACGGUCAAUUAUCAAAGAAAAAUUGACAGCCGGAAGUUGUGAACUUGCCCAUGCAAGUGAACGGAGCGUUCCACAGCAUUGAGAAGAGCCGUGUAAUAAAUAUAUAUAAUGUAUGUGAUCUGUAGGGAAGGGGUCUAAUAUAUACUGUACAUAUAGUGUGUAGUGUAUAAUGUCUAGGUAACGCUUUAUAUUAAGGUCCUUGUAAUAACCCUUUGUUAAUAGGUAAUAAGACACUAAUUAUAUGCUUAUUAACAUUAAUUGGUGUUAAUAAGACUAUCAGUCUUAUCAGUUUCGUAUAGUUGUUAAUAAAAGCAUUACAAACCCA